GAAAUGGUUACCAAAAAGAUUCUUACUAUUUAGAACAUUCGCUAAUUUUUUUCCUCUUUUUAGAAUCCGGGCUUACCUCAAUAGGUUUUGCUUCUUGUUCUUUUGUUUCAAAUUCCACAAAGGCAGAUCCCACUGGGUCUCCGGUAGACUUACAACACGGAACACCUCUACAAACAACAUUGGCACAUUUCCCAAAUGCUCUUCCGGUCCAGCUGAGAUUAACAUGUUUUGGCAACUAGUUUCUAUGAUAAUUUAGAAGCAGUGUUCAAUAUGUAAGGAUUUAAUGACUAUACAGAUUAAACUU
rnacentral:lncRNA from 1 species